UAUCUUUUUAUUUUUUUUUUUCCUUUUUUUUCAGUCUUGGGUUUGUGUUGAUGAAGG
rnacentral:ribozyme from 1 species